UACGAGGGGGGCUAGCGUUGUUCGGAAUCACUGGGCGUAAAGGGCGCGUAGGCGGCUUUAUAAGUCGGGGGUGAAAGCCUGUGGCUCAACCACAGAAUUGCCUUCGAUACUGUAGAGCUUGAGACCGGAAGAGGUAAGUGGAACUGCGAGUGUAGAGGUGAAAUUCGUAGAUAUUCGCAAGAACACCAGUGGCGAAGGCGGCUUACUGGUCCGGUUCUGACGCUGAGGCGCGAAAGCGUGGGGAGCAAACAGG
rnacentral:rRNA from 1 species